rnacentral:rRNA from 1 species
UACGUAGGGUGCAAGCGUUGUCCGGAAUUAUUGGGCGUAAAGAGCUCGUAGGCGGUUUGUCGCGUCUGCUGUGAAAACUCAGGGCUUAACUCUGAGCUUGCAGUGGGUACGGGCAGACUAGAGUGCGGUAGGGGAGACUGGAAUUCCGUGGUGUAGCGGUGAAAUGCGCAGAUAUCAGGAGGAACACCGGUGGCGAAGGCGGGUCUCUGGGCCGUAACUG